rnacentral:rRNA from 1 species
CGGACGGGUGAGUAACGCGUGAGAAUCUGGCUUCAGGUCUGGGACAACCACUGGAAACGGUGGCUAAUACCGGAUGUGCCGAAAGGUGAAAGGUUAACUGCCUGAAGAUGAGCUCGCGUCUGAUUAGCUAGUUGGUAGAGUAAAAGCCUACCAAGGCGACGAUCAGUAGCUGGUCUGAGAGGACGAUCAGCCACACUGGGACUGAGACACGGCCCAGACUCCUACGGGAGGCAGCAGUGGGGAAUUCUCCGCAAUGGGCGAAAGCCUGACGGAGCAAUACCGCGUGAGGGAGGAAGGCUCUUGGGUCGUAAACCUCUUUUCUCAGGGAAGAACACAAUGACGGUACCUGAGGAAUAAGCAUCGGCUAACUCCGUGCCAGCAGCCGCGGUAAUACGGAGGAUGCAAGCGUUAUCCGGAAUGAUUGGGCGUAAAGCGUCCGCAGGUGGCAAUGUAAGUCUGCUGUUAAAGAGUCUAGCUCAACUAGAUAAGAGCAGUGGAAACUACAUAGCUAGAGUACGUUCGGGGCAGAGGGAAUUCCUGGUGUAGCGGUGAAAUGCGUAGAGAUCAGGAAGAACACCAGUGGCGAAGGCGCUCUGCUAGGCCGUAACUGACACUGAGGGACGAAAGCUAGGGGAGCGAAUGGGAUUAGAUACCCCAGUAGUC